rnacentral:rRNA from 2 species
UAAGGAAUAUUGGUCAAUGGACGCAAGUCUGAACCAGCCAUGCCGCGUGAAGGAUGAAGGUCCUCUGGAUUGUAAACUUCUUUUAUCUGGGACGAAAAAAGGGCUUUCUAGCUCACUUGACGGUACCAGAGGAAUAAGCACCGGCUAACUCCGUGCCAGCAGCCGCGGUAAUACGGAGGGUGCAAGCGUUAUCCGGAUUUACUGGGUUUAAAGGGUGCGUAGGUGGGCAGGUAAGUCAGCGGUGAAAUCUCCGAGCUUAACUCGGAAACUGCCAUUGAUACUAUCUGUCUUGAAUAUCCUGGAGGUGAGCGGAAUAUGUCAUGUAGCGGUGAAAUGCUUAGAUAUGACAUAGAACACCAAUUGCGAAGGCAGCUCACUACGGGGUCAUUGACACUGAGGCACGAAAGCGUGGGGAUCAAACAGG